rnacentral:rRNA from 1 species
UACGGGAGGAUGCAAGCGUUAUCCGGAAUGAUUGGGCGUAAAGCGUCCGCAGGUGGCAAUGUAAGUCUGCUGUUAAAGAGUCUAGCUCAACUAGAUAAAAGCAGUGGAAACUACAUAGCUAGAGUACGUUCGGGGCAGAGGGAAUUCCUGGUGUAGCGGUGAAAUGCGUAGAGAUCAGGAAGAACACCAGUGGCGAAGGCGCUCUGCUAGGCCGUAACUGACACUGAGGACGAAAGCUAGGGGAGCGAAUGGG